AGGGAUUUGGUGGUUGAAAUAAUCUGCAGUAAGGUCAUCCUUUACUCCUUAUUUUCUUCCACAGAACCCUGGAUUCCCUGAUUCACUUGCUCACUUCUGUUCAAGGAUGUGAGGACAGCUGCUAGAACCUGACUCUCUUUUCUCACUUCUCUGUUGGAAUGUUGCUCUCGGUGUUUGAAAUAGAGCCAGCCAAUCAAUCCUGUUUUGAGACUCAAUUUCCACACUCUUUGUAAAUGCCCUCAGCCAUCUUUGAACGAUGUGCCUCUCAGAGGUGAAAUGGAGCAGCACGCUUGGAAAGACGUGGCGAAAUGAAGAAAAUAAAUGGCUCAAACAAAAUGCGCUGCAGUGGAGAGAUAAGAAAAGGUUAUUUCUCCUUUGUGAAGCUGUUCACUCUGUUUUGCUGAAGGACCAUGUGAGCAUGCUAAGUGGACUGCCAAGAAGGCACUGCUCUGAAUUUCGACUUUACCCAGCAGAGUCUGCAGAGUUGAGCUGUUGAUGAAUGAGAAAGAAAUGCUUUAAUUGGGGGAAAUAACUACAUAAUACAAAGUCAUGCAGAAAAUUCAUAAGGGUCCAUGAGGCCUGGUACAUCAGGAGCAUCCAGAUACCUACAUAUUGUUAGCUGGCUCAAAAAUUGAAGCGGAGAAUGAGUCAGCUGCAUAAGUAAAGGGCUGAAAGCCCAAAUGGAAGAUGAAGGACUGGGCAUGUAGCCUGAAGAUCUAGGAGAAGGAUGGGGAAUCUGUUUGUAACACUAGCAAUUGGAUUUCUGAGACAAGAUUGAAGCUGCCUGUUGUGUAUGUCUGAGCUACCCCAUUGAGACAAAAAGUGAAGAAUCUAUGGUAGACUCACAGGCUUUAGAAAGACUUACCUUUGAUCAAAAGGUGUUUCUCAAAGUAUACGCACUAAGCAAGGAGAUAAAAACACUACCUUAGAAAGGAGAAAACCGAUUCUACUCCAUCUUUCUAACUCUUCUGGCAUUUAACUGUCCAGGCAUAAUACACAGAACCUGACAACAAGAUAAUGGAGCCCAACAGAGAGAUGUCAAUCCCUAGCCCAUGCGCUGAGUGUCAGAAGGAAGAUGCUGCCAACACAUAAGCUAAGUGUGGUUGUGUGAGUGACCCUAGCUGAUAAGAUGAAUGUGGAUUUGUGAAUGCUAGAAGCUAAGCGUAUAAAACCAAUGUACCAGCCAAAAAUCAACACAGUUGCUCUCUUAAAAUUUCAAGUCAAACAUUUGUAUUUAAUUGGAUAUGCUACUUAUUUACAUAUUUUACGAUUUAUAAUGUUUUUUGCCUCAUUAUUUUAUACACUAUUUCCAAUUAUUAUAAGACUUCCCAGCCUAACAUGACAUUCUCUGCCCAUGCUUAGCUGAGGCUUUGAGACCUGAUAGGUCAUACCUAACUGUACAGAGAUUGCUCAUUUCUUUGAUCCUUUUUCUUUGAGAAAUACACCUCUACAUUCCCCUAGGGUGACAUAUAAACUCAUAAAUGUAUCUUCUGAUUAAAUCUUCAACAUUUCCUCUACAUGAUGGCAAAUUUUUUAUCUAGCUUCUACUGAGCACUUACCUUGAAUAUAAAUGCAUGAUCACAGAAACUGUGUCUACACACAAAAAUAAAUUUUCUAAAAAAAAAAAAUAAUUUUCUCCUUUGCGUUAAUUCACCAAUUGCUUUGCUGGUAUUACAUAGAAACAAUCUAUUUUUCCCUCCAAGACCAACAAUAAAAUUGCUAGUCUUUUG
ensembl:lincRNA